GAACUACGAUAAGUAAUGUGAAUUGCAGAAUUCAGUGAAUCAUCGAGUCUUUGAACGCACAUUGCGCCCCCUGGCAUUCCGGGGGGCAUGCCUGUCCGAGCGUCAUUGCUGCCCUUCAAGCCCGGCUUGUGUGUUGGGUCGUCGUCCCCUCCGGGGGACGGGCCCGAAAGGCAGCGGCGGCACCGCGUCCGGUCCUCGAGCGUAUGGGGCUUUGUCACCCGCUCGAUAAGGACCGGCCGGGCGCCAGCCGGCGUCUCCAACCUUUUUUUCUCAGGUUGACCUCGGAUCAGGUAGGGAUACCCGCUGAACUUAAGC
rnacentral:misc_RNA from 1 species